rnacentral:lncRNA from 1 species
AGAGAGAGAGAGAGAAAUAAAAAAGUAAACAUAUGUCAAUUGUGAACUUUCUUCAUAGCUCUCAUUCUUCCAUCCAAAACUAGACUUGAAUUUGUCUCUCCAUCUUUCUGUAUUCAUAAAUCAGUGAGUCAUUUAUAGAAUCCCAAGAGCUCUUUAUCCCAUCUACCUCCCCUGGUCUCAGAACUGGGGCUUGUGGGAUUGGAGGUGAGAAACUAACUUGCAUUCAAUAUCUAGUAGGUAUGGGAGGCAGUGUGUUAGAAUAUUUUAUUUAAUUCUCUUCUCAUUCUCAUUGACAUCAUUGAUUACCCAGGUUUUAAAGACGUGAAAACUGAGCUUAAGGAAAUUGCAGGGUAGUCAACUGCAAGGCCAUGGUCAGGGGAUGCUGAAACCAGACCCAAGGCUGUGAUCUUUCUGUCAGCUUCAGCUGCCUCUUAUUUCUACUCCUUCUCAGGCUCUUGAUACCUCCAGUGACCACAAGGAAAAGAGAAGCUUUACAUGUAAUCCCAUCCAACCCAUAUUCUUUUUCUUUUGGUACUGGGGAUUGAGCUCAGGGGCACUUGACUACUGAGCCACAUCCCCAGCCCUAUUUUGUAUUUUAUUUAGAAACAGGGUCUCAUUGAGUUGCUUAACACCUUGUUUUUGCUGAUGCUGUGUUUGAACUUGUGAGCCUCCUGCCUCAGCCUCCCCAGCCACUGGGAUUACAGCCAACCCACAUUCUUACAGGACUCCAAGAAAGAGUGGAGGUGCUGUCCAGCCCACCACCUUCUGGAUUUCGGAGAUGCUGGGAUGGCUUAACUGCUGAUUUGCCACAGUCAAGGCACAUAAGGGAGGACACAGGGCUGAGCCAGGGAGGGGAUGUGUGACCCUGAAUCCGCCGUGUUGCAUUUAUUUUGCAAUGUCUCCAUGCCUGGCCUAUUUCUAGAGCUGCAGUUACUGUUCCCACUGACUAGUCAUUUUGUUUCCAUUGAGCAGGCUUCCAUUGUCCACCCCAGGAUCCUGGGGCCACAUGCCAAAGCCCCAGGGGCUGCAAAAGCCACCCCUGCAUAAUAGGAACAGUAUUGGCAUCAGAAAAAAAACCUGGCUUCUGAUCUUCUAGUUAAUGUGACCUUGGACAAAUUCCUCAGCUUCUUCAAAUUUCAGGGUUUGUUUUUGAUUCCUUUGUGAAGUAGAGCAAAUGGUAUCUACUCCAGAGCCUUAUCUGUUAAGGUUAAAUAUGAAGUUUACUAAGACCCUGGUAGGUAGGAUACUAAGUGUCCUCCUUCUGCAGCUGCUCUUCUCCCACAGUCCCCUCUUCAUUUGUCCCUGACUGGUGGGAAAAGGAAGAAGGCCUGAGAGCUCAGGGGUGAGCCAGACUGGAGAGACCCCACCAGGGUGGGAAGGAAAGGAGAGGAGGAAAGAGACAACCUGCCUGUCCAUCCACCAGCGGUUUUUCUCUUUCCAGGUUCACGAUCCGGAUUAGAGGCUGCUUUCCCAUUGCUGGUUGGAGCUGCAGGGGUGUGGGGCUGAGGACUCAGGAGCAUUAGGAGCAGGGUCAAGGGCUGGGGUGAAGGUUGGAGAUGAGCGACUUACUUGAGGAGCAGGAGAGAGUUUGUCUGUGGGUUUUGGUUUCUGCUAGCCGCCCCAAGAAGGACUUCACCCUGAACUCAUUCCAGUUUGCCCUUAGCCUUGUUUCUGUACACCCAAACUCUCUUAUCUAUAACAUGAUGUUAUGGUUUAGGUUAUAAACUGUCCCCCAGCCAGGUAUGGUGGGACUAGCCUGUAAUCCCAGCGACUCAGGAGGCUGAGGCAGGAGGAUCUCAAGUUCAAGGCAAGCCUGGGCAACUCAGGGAGAACCUAAGCAACUUAGACCCUGUUUCAAAAUAAAAAAUAAAAAGAGUGGGGAUGUAGCACGGUGGAAAAGUACCCUUGGGUCCAAUCCCCAGUACCAAAACAACAACAACAACAAAACCCUGUUCCCCAAAAGCUCAUGUGUGAGAUAAUGCAAGAAAGUUUAGGGGUGAAAGGAUUGGGUUAUGAGAGCCUUAACCUAAUCAGUGCAUUAAUCCAAUUGAAUGGAUUAACUGGAUGGUAACUACAGGCAGGUAGGUUGUGGCCAGAGGAGGUAGGUCACUGGCAGUGUGUCUUUGGGCUUUUUUUUGCCCCUGGUGAAUGGAAUGCUCAUGCUCUCUCUCCCCCACCUUCCUGAUUGUCGUGUCUUGAGCUGCUUCUGUCCUCCACACCCUUCGCCAUGAUGUUCUGCCUCACUUUAGGCCCAGAGCCAUGGAGUCGGCCAACCAUGAACUGAGAUCCCUGAAACUGUUAGGGAGCAGACAGGUGCCAAUGGUGGGAAACCCAGGUAAAGGGAAUAAUUCUAUAAAAUGAGCCCACUGUACUGACCUGCACAUGUUUUCUUCUCUAAGAAGCAAUUUUCCUGCAACUAGUCCUGGCUUAAGUGGACAGGUUAAGUCACAUUCCACAACAAACUGUUAUCUGCAGGAGAAAUGCAGGCCUGAAACAAUGUAGAUAAGAGAAACCCAAGUCACCCUGAAGGAGGAAACUUUUGUGACUCUUCAUAGACCAGAUCCCAAAACUCAGGGAGAUAAGGAUGCUUCCUCCUAACCAUAAAAUCCUGUGAGGUAUCCUAUUAGAACUGGUCAACAUGGGCCAAGGUAGCCCAAAGUUGUCAUGGCCGAGGGGACUUGAAAGUCUGAUGUUAUCCUGCCGUCAGUCAAAAGUCAGUAAGUGGGCUUGGGCAGGACUCUCUGGGAACUUCUCUGGGAUCCCCAAUAAAAUUGGAGUACAGGAGAGACUUGCUGUCCCUCUCCUCUUUGAGAGGACCCACCCUCUCCCUUGAAAGUGUCCCCUUCCCCUUUUCCUAUUCCUUCAAUAAACUCACUCCUAUUCCUCUGAGCAACAUGUCUGAAAUCGUUGACUUGAUCAUAAGAAUUGAGGUUUGAAGAGGGGAGGUCUUCACACUGCCUCAGUCUUCCAGAAGGCCCCAGCUCUGUAGCAAAACCAUGAGCACCAAAUAAACUUUUCCUCCUCUAAAAUUGUUCUUGUCAGGUCUUUUGUCACAGCAACAAAAAAGCUGACUAAAACACAUGGGCAGGCAGAAAGGCCACCUCCCCAGUGUACCAAGUGUUCAGAGGACAAAGGGGCAGCCCAAGGCUGUCAGCGGGGGAGGAGGCCCUUGGCAAACAUGAUGGCCACCUACUUACUUAGUAACAGCUGCUGAGAACCUGG